rnacentral:rRNA from 1 species
AUUGAACGCUGGCGGCAUGCCUUACACAUGCAAGUCGAACGGUAACGGGCCUUCGGGUGCCGACGAGUGGCGAACGGGUGAGUAAUGUAUCGGAACGUACCUUUCAGUGGGGGAUAACGUAGCGAAAGUUACGCUAAUACCGCAUAUUCUGUGCGCAGGAAAGCAGGGGAUCGCAAGACCUUGCGCUGAUUGAGCGGCCGAUAUCAGAUUAGCUAGUUGGUGGGGUAAAGGCUCACCAAGGCGACGAUCUGUAGCGGGGCUGAGAGGAUGAUCCGCCACACUGGAGCUGGGACACGGUCCAGACUCCUACGGGAGGCAGCAGUGGGGAAUUUUGGACAAUGGGGGCAACCCUGAUCCAGCCAUGCCGCGUGAGUGAAGAAGGCCUUCGGGUUGUAAAGCUCUUUCGGCCGGGAAGAAAUCGUAUCAGCGAAUACCUGGUGCGGAUGACGGUACCGGCAUAAGAAGCACCGGCUAACUACGUGCCAGCCGCCGCCGUAAGAC